GACUCAGCACUGCACAUGCGGCCUCACCAGUACUGAGCAGAGUGGGAAAGGAGGCUGCUGGAGCUCAGAAAGCUGUGUUUGACCUGGGGAUGGCACAAGAUGUCUUUAGGACCCUCCAUGGCCAGGAGGAGUCCUGUGCAGCAGCAUCUGAUCUGGAAGAGUGGCUAAUUCCAUGCAGCAGGUGCUGUAUCUGAUUCCUUCAUUCACGCCUGCCUGCAGCUGGAUGCUACUGAGAGUCAUCCUUCCCUGUACGAGGACCUCAAACUCUAGGAGCUUCCUGGUACCACAAGAGCUGACUUCUCCCAAAAGGAUGGGGAGCCCAAUGUGAUGGCACAGAUGGGGGGACUUGUCCAUCACUGUCUCCAUACAAGGUGAGCAAGAUGGGCCUUGGGACAGCAGCUGGGAUCAGCCCAGAGUCCAGAUCCCCUGGGAAGCAGGGAGUGAAGAGGCAGGUAUGAGGCUGGGAUCAGGUCUGA